rnacentral:rRNA from 1 species
GACAGAGGCCUCAAGCGUUAGGCGGAAUCACUGGGCUUAAAGCGUGUGUAGGCGGAUCGUUAAGUGUCUUGUGAAAUCCCACGGCUCACCCGUGGAACUGCUGGGCAUACUGGCGAUCUUGGGCCAACUAGGGGCAACUGGAACAAGCGGUGGAGCGGUGAAAAUGCGUAGAUAUCGCUUGGAACGCCAAAGGGUGAAAAACAGGGUUGCCUGG